rnacentral:rRNA from 1 species
GACGAACGCUGGCGGCGUGCUUAACACAUGCAAGUCGAACGGAAAGGCCCUGCUUUUGUGGGGUGCUCGAGUGGCGAACGGGUGAGUAACACGUGAGUAACCUGCCCUUGACUUUGGGAUAACUUCAGGAAACUGGGGCUAAUACCGGAUAGGAGCUCCUGCUGCAUGGUGGGGGUUGGAAAGUUUCGGCGGUUGGGGAUGGACUCGCGGCUUAUCAGCUUGUUGGUGGGGUAGUGGCUUACCAAGGCUUUGACGGGUAGCCGGCCUGGGAGGGUGACCGGCCACAUUGGGACUGAGAUACGGCCCAGACUCCUACGGGCGGCAGCAGUGGGGAAUCUUGCACAGUGGGCGGGCGCCUGAUGCAGCAACGCCGCGUGCGGGAUGACGGCCUUCGGGUUGUAAACCGCUUUCGCCUGUGACGAAGCGUGAGUGACGGUAAUGGGUAAAGAAGCACCGGCUAACUACGUG